rnacentral:tRNA from 1 species
AUGACUUUAAGUUAUAUAAACUAUAAACCUUCAAAGUUUAAAUAACCAUAGGGUAAGUCUUA